CCACCAAUGCUCAGUAGCAGCAGUGUGCACCAUCUACGAGAUACACUGCAGAAAUUCGCCAAGGAACCUGACCCAACACUUUCCAAAUCUAUGACCACGUCCAUCUAGAAGGACAAGGACAGUGGAUGUAUAUGAACACCUUCAAGUUCCUCUCCAAGCCACUCACCAUCCUGACUUGGAAAUAUAACGCCGAUCCUUUACUGUCACUAGGUCAAAACUCUACAAUUCCUUUGUAACAUAGCUUACACCAUGGAAAAGCUUCCUUAUCCCUGAUGUGUAACAUUAACUCUGAAAAUAAUACGUUUUGACAAUUCCACUUCUUAUCCCAGUAUUUUUGAUGACUUUCAGUUGCUCUUGCCAUUCUGGUCUAUAAAUGGGUGAGGUGAGAGGUAUUAGAAUGAACUGCAUUAAGUAUGGAAUAAAGGUGUCACUGUCCAGUCUGUAUUUAAGGAAAGAAGACAUUGUACAGGUUGUUACUGGUACAUGAGAAAUUCUGCUGCUACGGAAUGCCACUGACAUUGUUUUAGCCUACACCCAGUGGAGGUACCCAUCUCCGCAGUCCCAAAUUGCAUGUUGUUAGUUCGUUUUGUAACUUAAUUUGCACAUUUAGAGUAUAGAUCGUAUAUACCAUGCCUGUGUGAAUUCAGGUACACACCAGGUGUAUCUCCCAUUUGAAUUUUUAAUGUUUAAGUUUGGUUUUCCCCUGCUCUUCUGGUAAUAAAUUCACACAUUGUAUUGAAACUUUACUGUUAAACACCAUGAAUUGCUGUAACAAAUGUGGUUGCAAUUGUAGAGUAUAUUUUGUAACUCCAUACCAACAGUAACAUGCAUCAAGAGCACUUUUUUGAUGCAGAUGAAACAGCUCAAAUGACUCUGAGUCAAUAACCAGACAAAAAUGGACACUGCUGAAAUGGGAGAUAUUAGGUAUGGUAGCCAAAAAUGCUUUCACAGAAGUAAUAAAGAUAUUGAAGGUUUAGAAAAAGAGUUAGAAAGCAUUGGAUCUAGAUAAUUGAAGGCAAGCGACUGAUGUUGUUAGAAUUGUAGACUGAAUACACCAGGCGGUAUAUUUUGAGGCAUGGGAAGGUGGUUAUGGUGCUUGACGACGUUAGAUUUGGGAAUGGUGAAGUCAUGAAGUAAUUAAACUUGUUAAAUUGCCCUCCAAAGCUAAAAAACUAUGCCAUGCUUUGAUUAGUAAGAGGAUCAAAAGUUAGAAGGAGAAGAGUGUGGUUGAGACACAUCAACCAUGAUCAAAUGACAGAGCAGACUUGAUGGGCAGAAUGGUUUAAUUCUGGUCCUAUAUCUUAUGGUCCAAUACUGUGCCAGGUAAAGAGCAAGGGUUUCAAAAAUACUGAUGGACAAAGUGACACUUUCCCUGAUCUCUUUUUAAAGCAAUAAUCUUUUGUUUUUGAAAGUGGGGUCUUAAAUCUUCACAGGUUCAGUCUUAGCCUGGACACAUGGGUGGGUGCUGUUUUGGGCUUGAGGAGCCUUACAUCUGUGUCAUGUGGCAGCUGGUGGGCAGCUUGGAUUGUGUGAGCUCCUUGUAGAGCUUUGUUGUAAGUAAGGGGCAGAAGCUUUGCUGCCUUUACAAAUUCCUAUAGAAUCCCUAGUGUACAUUCAGGGCCAGGAGCCAGCUUUAUCUUUCUAAUGCACUCUUGGUGGGAUUAUGGAAGGUUAUGCAGAAAGGACCCUGGAUAUUUGACUUCUCUGGUUUAGAGUCCAUCAAAAUUAACAGUUUUGCCGCUGUAGUGACAGGAUAUACUCCCAUCCAUGGAGAUUUGUUGGGACACUGUGUUACUCAUUUUCUUUCAAUUUAUAGGGAAGUGGAACAAUGUAAACGGAAACACUAUGAAGAGAAUGUGGAUGAUUCUCGAACCCGAAUGGAAAUCGCAAAGAUAGAAGCCAGACACGACAAGUACAUGAAUGAAAUGGAUGAUUUAUUCUCCCAGGUGGAUGAAAAGA